rnacentral:misc_RNA from 1 species
GAUGAAGAACGCAGCGAAAUGCGAUACUUGGUGUGAAUUGCAGAAUCCCGUGAACCAUCGAGUUUUUGAACGCAAGUUGCGCCCGAAGCCAUUAGGCCGAGGGCACGCCUGCCUGGGCGUCACACGUCGUUGCCCCCCCAUCUACUCCUUCGGGAUUGCGGGGGGCGGAUGAUGGCCUCCCGUGCGCCUCGUCGCGCGGUUGGCCUAAAUGCCAAGUCCUCGGCGACGCACGCCACGACAAUCGGUGGUUGCGAAACCUCGGUUGCCUGUCGUGUGCGGUCGUCGCGCAUCGAGGGCUCGAAAAAAUUGCCGGGCUUCGGCUCGACUUUCAACGCGACCCCAGGUCAGGCGGGGUUACCCGCUGAAUUUAAGCAUAUCAAUAAGCGGAGGA